AUGCAUUUCAAUGCUCUCUCUUUCCCAGGGGCCUCCUCAGAUGUUCAGCUGACGUCAUCUGGACCAGGAGUGGUGAGACCCGGAGAGAAUCUCAGCCUGCUCUGUAAGCUGACAGGCAUCUCCAUCUCCAGUUCUACCUAUGCUUGGAACUGGUUCCGUCAGCCUCUCGGGGAAAGUCCGGAAUGGAUUGCAGAGAUAUACCCUUAUGGUGGGAAACAGUGGCAGAACCCUUCUCUUCGAAGCCGUAUGACCAUUUCUGCAGACACCUCCAAGAAUGAGUUCUCCCUCCAGCUGACCUCCCUGACAGCUGCUGACUCUGCAGUGUAUUAUUGUGCUCGCAGACACACGGUGAGGCGAGGCCAAUGGGAGCUGCAUCAGAAAGAGGAACAUGUGUUUUUCAUGCCACUCAGUGUUUGA